UACGGGGGGGGCAAGCGUUGUUCGGAAUUACUGGGCGUAAAGCGUGCGUAGUCGGCUUUUUAAGUCGGGUGUGAAAUCCCCGGGCUCAACCUGGGAAUUGCAUUCGAUACUGGAUAGCUAGAGUUCGGCAGAGGGAAGUGGAAUUUCUGGUGUAGCGGUGAAAUGCGUAGAUAUCAGAAGGAACAUCAGUGGCGAAAGCGACUUCCUGGACCAGAACUGACGAUCAGGCACGAAAGCGUGGGGAGCAAACAGG
rnacentral:rRNA from 1 species